GACGAACGCUGGCGGCGUGCUUAACACAUGCAAGUCGAACGAGACGAUUGAAAGCUUGCUUUCGAAAGUCGAGUGGCAAACGGGUGAGUAACGCGUAGACAACCUGCCUUUGAGAUGGGGACAACAGUUCGAAAGGACUGCUAAUACCGAAUGUUGUAUAUUUUCCACAUGGAAGAUAUAUUAAAGAUGGCCUCUAUUUAUAAGCUAUCGCUCAAAGAUGGGUCUGCGUCUGAUUAGCUGGUUGGUGGGGUAACGGCCUACCAAGGCGACGAUCAGUAGCCGGUCUGAGAGGAUGAGCGGCCACAUUGGGACUGAGACACGGCCCAGACUCCUACGGGAGGCAGCAGUGGGGAAUCUUCCACAAUGGACGAAAGUCUGAUGGAGCAACGCCGCGUGAGUGAAGAAGGGUUUCGGCUCGUAAAGCUCUGUUGUCGGGGACGAAUGUGCAGUAUUUGAAUAAAGUAGUGUAAUGACGGUACCUGACGAGGAAGCCACGGCUAACUACGUGCCAGCAGCCGCGGUAA
rnacentral:rRNA from 1 species